rnacentral:rRNA from 1 species
UGGGGAAUAUUGGACAAUGGGCGCAAGCCUGAUCCAGCCAUGCCGCGUGAGUGACGAAGGCCUUAGGGUUGUAAAGCUCUUUUGGCGGGGAAGAUAAUGACGGUACCCGCAGAAUAAGCUCCGGCUAACUUCGUGCCAGCAGCCGCGGUAAUACGAAGGGAGCUAGCGUUGUUCGGAAUCACUGGGCGUAAAGCGCACGUAGGUGGGCAGUUAAGUCAGGGGUGAAAGCCCGAGGCUCAACCUCGGAAUUGCCUCUGAUACUGGCUGUCUAGAGUUCGAGAGAGGUGAGUGGAAUUCCUAGUGUAGAGGUGAAAUUCGUAGAUAUUCGGAAGAACACCAGUGGCGAAGGCGGCUCACUGGACGUGUACUGACGCUCAUGCACGAAAGCGUGGGGAGCAAACAGGAUUAGAUACCCUCGUAGUCCCUGAGCGGGCUGGCAAGGCGCAU